AAGGAUUUAAGUUAUAUUAAACUAACAGUCUUCAAAUCUGUAAAAAAAGGAGGUGCUUUAAGCCUUA
rnacentral:tRNA from 1 species